GCAUGAAAAUGGAUUUGUGGUGGGUCUGACUUGUGUGGCCUUCCGUAGUAUACCCAUGUGAGAGCAAAGCAUGACCUCAAACCCACUGCCCGGCCCCUGCUGUGGGCUGUGGGCACUGAAGCAGGCCGCACAGCU
ensembl:snoRNA